GCCAGACGACUUCCCAUGUAAGUCGUCUGACGAAUAGAUCUGAAAAAAAAUUUGAUUUCAUACCUUAAAUUGGUGAGAUAACUUCCUUAGCACACAUAAGGCUUCUCCAAGCACACAGAAUCUCAAACGAAAGUGACCCACCCAGAAUCGUUAGCUUCUAUGACUUUAUGAACCAUAAAAAAUGUAAAAUCAAAAUCUUGGAUUUUUUUUAGCUCAAUAUGAAGAGAAAUUGAGAGAUAUGUUGUGUUUAGUUCAUAAUAAUAGAAAAAGAAGAAGGGUAACUCGAUUUUGGGAGCAUUAAGAGCUUCAAAUUGGUUGUUCAUGGUGGUUAGGGUAUUGAUGACAAUGGCAAUCUUGUAAUUACUUGAAAAUGAUGAGGGUGACACAGUAAAAAUGUCAUUUUCGAAAAAAAAAUUGAUGGCAUUUUCGUGAAUUAUAUGAACUUGUGUGGUAAAUAGGGCAAAACCAAUUUCUAAAAAAAAAGAGGUUAGUUUUGUGUUUGACUUUAAGUUGUAGGUCAAUUCUACAAAAAAACCCUAAUUUUUAUGUAUUAUUAUUUAUUAUUAUUUAUUUGGUGUAUACAAAUAAUGUUUACGUAUUUUUUUUUGUGUGUUCAUUUACGAAUUUUGUAUAUAAUUAAGCUAAGAUAAAUACAUAAAUCAAAUUCAUAUCUCUUGUUUAUUUACAAUAAUGUUUUGGUAAAUAAAUCAAUACAAUCAUAUUAUUUAUUUUAUAGGGUAUGUAAUUAAAUUUUAGGAUAUUAACAUAGAUAUAUAAUAUAUUUAAUAUAAAUAUUUAUUAUUGAGACUUUCUACUUAUAUGAUUUUAUUAACAUUUGUAUAUUUGUUGUAACAAAAUUAAACCAUUAAUCACAAAAUUUUCAAUGAAGUUUUUUUAAUGCAAAUUUUAAAAUUAAAUUAUUAAGCUCUCAAUACUUUUUCAAAGAAAUUUUUUAAAAUAAGAUAUUUAUAUAUUUUUAUGUGGUAUAUGGUUUAAUUUAAAUGAUAUUAAUAUAUAUAUAUAUAUAUAUAUUUUUUUUUUAUUAUGAAUAUCUGUUAAAUAAGAUGGGGAAAUUUUACUUAUACACUUUUCUUGAUACCACUUUUCACUUAUACCACCACUCAAAGGACAUUUUCAUAAAUACCACAUUCAUUAAUGUAUAAAUGACUAAACUAACCCUGCCUUAUCUUCAGUCUAUCGUCUCCUUCUUCUCUACCGUCGUGAUCCUUCUUCUCUCUCCGUUCGGAUCCACCGUCUCUCUCCGUCGGAUCCACCGUCCUUCUUUUCGAGAUCCAUCGUCUCUCUCCCCGUUGAGAUCCUUCUUCUCUCUUCGUUGAGAUAUGUCGUCAUCUCCGUCGAGAUCCGUCGUCAUCUCCGUUGAGUUCCAUCGUCACUCUCUCUCACGUAUCUGGUGAUAAGCAAUUACGAGAAUCACGAUUCAAAACCUCAAAGAUGUUGGCUCCUCUCCACGAUUCACACUGUUAGAUAGCAAUGAAUUUUGCACAUCUUUGAGAUUGCGUCCGAGGAUUGAUGAAGCAAGAACAGAACCACUAGACAAUCUAAAAGUGAUUAUCCAAUCGGUGUUUUGGUCAAUAAUGUGAAGCAUUUUAUAAAAGAUUAUAAAUGUAGUUUUAUAAGGGUUUAUAAAUUAGAAGUUUGUAGAGACUUAUAAAACAUUGUUUAUUCUUUAUUACUUCUUAUGGUUAAUACAAUGCUUUGAUUUCCUGAUGAAUACAAACAUUUGGUGACCCUAACACAUACUGAUCUUGAUGACAUGGAUUUUAACAGUGUUGUACAAUUAGUUCAACAAAGAUAUAAAAUAAAAAAAAUUUAAUGGGAAUAAGGAUUUGUAGAUUUACUUUUUGCAACAUAUGAUAUAGGAAAAUAACACAUGAAAGAAGAUAAAAAUGAAGAAAAAAGAAAGCUGAAAAGAAAAUAAGAGUUUGUAAAUCAUUUAUAAAACGGUUUGUUAAGUUUAUAAGCUAUUUAUAAAGGUUUAUAAAUUAUUUGUAAGAGUAUCGAAACCAUUUAUAAAGGUUUAUAGAACAAUUAAUAAUGGCUAUAAACCAUUUAUAGCUGUUUAUAAAAAAAUAAUGAAAUUUUAUAAACAAUUUAUAAGGGGUAUGUAUACAAUUUAUAUGGUUUAUAGGUUUAGGAAUCAGUUAGAAAGUCUCUUAAAUAAUUUAUAAGAGUCUCUAAUAAUUAAUGAAGACUUAUAAAAAUCAUUUAUAAGAGUUUGUAAAGUAAUUUAUAAGGGUUUAUAAGGAUAUGUAAAUAAUUAAUAAGAGUUUAUAGAUCAUUUAUAAAAUUUUAUUUAUUUUUUUUAUGAAUUUUAUAAACCUAUUAUAAAGGCUGAUAAAACAGUUUAUAAAGUAUAUAAACUAUUUAUAAAUGUUUAUUACAAAAUUUAUAAAAGUUUAUAAAUAAUUCAUAAGGGGAAUGUAUAUAAUUUAUAAGGUUUAUAUAGGUAUAUACAUGUUUAUAAAUCAAUUGGAGGUCAUUAAAUCAAUUAUAAGAGCUAUAACCAUUUAGAAAGGCUUAUAAAACAAUUUAUAAAGUAUAUAAACUAUAUAUAAAUGUUUAUUACAAAAAUUAUAAAUGUUUAUAAAUAAUUUAUAAGGGGUAUGUAUAUAAUUAUAAGGUUUAUAUAUGUAUAUACAUGUUUAGAAAUCAAUUGGAAGUCUUUAAAUCAAUUAUAAGAGUCUAUAACCAUUUAGAAAUGCUUAUUAAACAAUCUAUAAGAGUUAAUAAAAUAAUUUUAAAGGGUUUAUAAGGGUAUGUAAAUUAUUUUCAAGGUUUAUAUAGGUAUAUACAUGUUAAGAAAUCAACUGGAUGUAUUUAAAUCAAUUAUAAGAGUCUAUAACCAUUUAGAAAGUCUUAUUAAACAAGGUGUUAUAAAAGAAGUUCUUAAACAAGAGUUCAUCGUAUAUAUCUAUAGAACAACAUAUAAACGUGUGAACAUGAGAAGUCUUGUAUUGUGUUAUCCUAUAUUCUUUGUAAGACUGUUACCAAAAUACAUGAAUAUUAUGCUUGGAUAAGGUAUCUUUACACGAUUAAAAGUUAACAUUAUCUUUUUAUUUCGUCAGGCAGUUAGAUAGCAAUGAAUUUUGCACAUCUUCGUGAUUCAUCUGAGGAUUUAUGAAGCUGGAACAGAUCCACUAGACAAUCCAAAAGUGAUUAUCCAAUCGGUGUCUUGGUCAAUAAUGUGAAGCAUUUUAUAAAAGAUUAUAAAUGUAGCUUUAUAUGGGUUUAUAAAUUUGUAAAUUAGAGAUUUGGGAGACUUAUAAAACUUGUUUAUUAUUUGUUACAUCUUUUGGUUAAUACAAUGUUUGGAUUCUCUAAGGAAUACAAACAUUUGGUGACCCCAACGCAUUCAGAUCUUAAUGACAUAGAUUUUGACAGUGUUGUACAAUUAGUUCAACAAGGAUAUAAAAAGAAGAAAAGUUAAUGGGAACAAAAUUUUGUGGAUUUACUUUUUGCAGUAUAUGAUAUAGAGCAAUAACACAUGAAAGAAGAUAAAAGUGAAGAGAAAAGAAAUUUAAAGGGCAAAUAAGAGCUUAUAAAUCAUUUACAAAAGUUUAUAAAACAUUUUUGUAAGUUUAUAAGCGAUUUAUAAAUGUUUAUAAAUUAUUUGUAAGAGUCUCUAAGAUCUAUGGUUCACUUUCUCAGAUCAACCAAUGGGGGUAGAUCUAUGAUUAUUGAUGAAUGUAAAUAAUUUAUAAAUUUAUAAACUAUUUAUAAAAGUUUAUAAAAAUGUUAUGAAAGCAUAUAUUCAAUUUAUAAGGGGUAUUAUAAGAGUUGUAUAGGUUUAUAAAUCAAUUAAAAGAGUCUAUAACCAUUUAGAAAGCUUUAUAAAACAACUUAUAAUGGUAUGUAUAAUAGUUUAUAAGGGUUUAUAAAGGUAUAUAAAUAAUUUAUAAGAGUUUAUAAAAAUAAUUUAUAAAAUUGAUACACCAUUAUAAAAUAAUUUAUAAGGGUAUGUAAAAUUAUUUGUAGGAGUCUAUAAACCAUUUAUAAAGACAUAUAAGAUUUGUAAGUCCGACAAAGGAGGUUUCUUCGUUCGUGGAGCUGAAGCGGUGGGGUCUGAAGCGGUGGAGCAUUGUUCGCUGUCCGAAUGUGCCUCGGAAUCUGCCACGUAUCAUCAUCUCUUUAUAAAACAUGCACAUGUUCUUUAUUUUUAUGAAUUUAAUCUUGUGUAUCAAAGUGUUGGGCUUUAAGACGAAAGACUUGUGCCAAUAAUUUCAGUCCAUGAGGCUUAAAUGAAAAGAAUGUUGACAAAAAAAAAAGAUUUAUAAGGGUUUAUAAAAGAUUUUAAUGGGUUUUGAAGAGUUUGUAUAGGGUUUACAAAAAAAUAUAAAGGUUUUAUAAGACUUUAUCAAAAGAUUUAUAAAUAGUUUAGAGAGUCUUUUUAAGCUGUUAGAGAAAUAUCUAUUCAGCCAAAAAACAUAUCAGAAGAAUCAGGUUAGUGGUAUUUUGAAGUGUUACAACUUUUUAUUUCAUGAAAUCAGGUGUAGAGUGUAUGACAAAGCGUUGUAAGUAUAUUAAGAAAUGAAGCAUUGUUAAAAGAUAGUUGCUUGUUACUAGUACUUAAUCUGAAGGAUGAAUGCUUCUUGAGACAUUAAGAAACAUACAUUCAGAAAGAAGUCAUUAUAGUCUUCUUUGAGUGUGAAUUCAGCUGAAUCAAACCGCCAAGCAAGAGGAGUAGAAGGCAUCAUCAUCAUAGAGCCAUGGCGGAUUGGGGAGCACCAAGUUGAUGAGCUCUUCAAGCAAUCAGUAGACUUGGGAUAUUUUAUUUUGUUUUACAAGAAUGUAUAAAUUGAUUCAUAUAGGUUUAUAAAUAGAUUUGUAAUGCUUUAUAAAAUAUCUACUGCAGUCUAUAAGUUAAUUAUAAAUAUUUAUAAACUAAUUUAUAAAGCUUUGUAAAUCAUUUGAAUCUAGCUCCAAUAGAGUUUGUACUUGCAAAACUCAGUUUUUGUUAGAUGUUACUAACAUGAUCUGAGAAUAUCAAGGCUUUUCCAUAUUUCAUUCUUCUAUAAAAGAAACGAUUGGAACCACACUCAUUUACAUGUCGAACUAAUCUCUUCAACUAUGCAACUCGUAAGAGAAUCUACAAUUGGUUUAGUAUAAGAGAUGUCUGAAGAAAAUGAGAGAGAAGGAUGUAUAAAGAAGCCAACUCUGCAAUUUUUAUAAAGAGUUAUAAAUAUUUAAUUCUUUGAUCAUACAAACCACAUUCUUGUUCAGAGUUCCUCUUGCUUCUUCAAACAGCUCACCAACCUCGUCGAUCUUCAAAAUCUGAGCGCAAGCCAAUCACAUGUUAUUCAUACGCAUCAUCACUCACUUCCAAAAACAAGAUUCAAAAAUAAUAUGCUUUGGUAACUCAACAAACUCAUGCUCCAUCUCCACUGCUUCUAUAGAUAUUAUACACAAACAAGACAUAAAAAAUGAAUCUCAUAUAGUACCAAACAGAACAUUACACUACCAAAACACCAACCUUCCACC